AGAGUUUGAUUAUGGCUCAGGGUAACGCUGGCGGCGUGCCUUACACAUGCAAGUUGAACGAGAACAGAAGAGACAGUAGCGAACGAGUGAGGAACACGUAGUAACCUGCCCACUGGAGGGGGAGAACCACUGGAAACGGUGGCUAAUACCGCAUACCCGAAAGGGGAAACAAUUUAUUGUGCCGGUGGAGGGGACUGCGGGCCAUCAGGAAGAUGGUGAGGUAAAAGCUCACCAAACCGACGACGGCUAUCUGACGUGAGAGCGUGAUCAGACACGAGGACACUGAGAAACGGGUCCUACUCCUACGGGAGGCAGCAGUGGGGAAUAUUGGACAAUGGGGGAAACCCUGAUCCAGCGACGCCGCGUGAACGAGUUUCGAUGAGUUCUUUUAAAUGGGAGACCAAUUGAAUAAGCCCCGGCAACUACGUGCCAGCAGCCGCGGUAAGACGUAGGGGGCAAGCGUUACCCGGAAUCACUGGGCGUAAAGGGAGCGUAGGCGGUUAUGCAGGUCAUACGUUAAAGGAUCCGGCUCAACCGGAGAGAUGCAUAUGAAACCGUAUAACUUGAGGAUAUCAGAGGAAAAGGGAAUUACCAUUGUAGGGGUGAAAUCCGUAGAGAGUGGUAAGAAUGCCGGUGGCGAAGGCGCUUUUCCGGGGUUACCUGACGCUGAGGCUCGAAAGCCAGGGGAGCGAACCGGAUUAGAUACCCGGGUAGUCCUGGCCGUAAACGAUGUUCACUAGGUGUAGGAUGUAACAAACUGUGCUGAAGCUAACGCGAUAAGUGAACCGCCUGGGGAGUACGUCCGCAAGGAUGAAACUCAAAGGAAUUGACGGGGGCCCGCACAAGCGGUGGAGCGUGUGGUUUAAUUCGAAGCUAAGCGAAGAACCUCACCAGGUCACAUAAGGUAAGGGAAGCGAAAGCGGACCGAACCUUAAGGUGGUGCAUGGUCGUCGUCAGCUCGUGCCGUGAGGUGUUGGGUUAAGUCCCGCAACGAGCGCAACCCUUGUUUUUAGUUGCCAGCAUUAAGGGGCACUCUAAAGAGACUGCCGUCGAAGAGACGGAGGAAGGAGGGGACGACGUCAGAUCAUCAUGCCCCUUAUGAUCUGGGCUACACACGCGCUACAAUGGGUUAGGCAAAAGGCGAAACUGCAAAGUGGAGGGAUCCUAAAACUAACCCCCAGUUCAGAUUGUAGGCUGAAACCCGCCUACAUGAAGUGGGAAUCGCUAGUAAUCGCAGAUCAGAACGCUGCGGUGAAUACGUUCCCGGGCCUUGUACACACCCCCGUC
rnacentral:rRNA from 1 species